rnacentral:rRNA from 1 species
UACAGAGGUCCCAAGCGUUGUUCGGAUUCACUGGGCGUAAAGGGUGCGUAGGUGGCCAGGUAAGUUCGGUGUGAAAGCUCGGAGCUUAACUCCGAAAUGUCAUUGAAUACUAUCUGGCUGGAGGGUCGGAGGGGAGACUGGAAUUCUCGGUGUAGCAGUGAAAUGCGUAGAUAUCGAGAGGAACACCGGUGGCGAAGGCGGGUCUCUGGGCCGAUACUGACGCUGAGGAGCGAAAGCGUGGGGAGCGAACAGG